CUUUGAUAUGUUGUUGCAGGAUAUGAAUAAUCCGGUGUGGCCUGCAUAUACAACUUUGCCUCCUUCAGAGUGAAAUUUAGUAGUUGUUAACACUGCUAAUGCAUUCUUGGCACACAAAGUAUGUUCACUUCUUAUUAAAAUUUCAUUAUAAGAACCAAGUUUUUUUGUGAAUUGCAUAUUCAAAGAGAACCAAGUUUCCUGAUAUAUAUAUAUAUAUAUAUAUAUAUAUAUAUAUGAAUUUGUAGUACUUAUAACUACGUGCUAACAGUCGUCAAUUUCCUAAGCCGUCGAACUCUAUGAGAAGAUGACUGGACACAAUUACCUGAACCAUUUGAUAUUGUGAAUUAGGCUGCUGCGGAGGUUGCACAUAAACAGCUUGUUGUGGCUGAAGAGUUUGCCCAGUCCUGCCUCCAGCUAGGUCAAACAAAAUAGUAUAAACAUUUAACGUCAAGUCCAGCUUGUAAAGAACCUGACUUAACUUAGAAGAUUAAAUGUGAUACUUUCAAGUUUAAAUACUUUUCUCAUGAGAAAAAUUCAAUACUGAUUGUAACAGACACAUAAAAGAGAAAUAAUGCAGCCCAUAAUACUGUAAAUCUACAAGCAGCUCUCAUACCUCACCACGCUAUUGUAUCGAGCUUAGGAGGAAUGGUUGCUAACCAAACCAAUCAAUGUAUUGGCAAUUUUUGCCAUACUACUCGGAUUUGUGAAUGCGACAUAAGCGCAAUGAGUACGUACAUGAGUUUAGGUCAUGUAUGCAGAGGUUAACAUACAUAAGGCAAAGAGAGGGUUAAAACCAUAAUCAAUGAAAGGCCACAGCAAAUAGAAAAGGGGACAAAACAAUCGGAUAAGGAGAAGGUAAUUCAUCAACUUAUCGUAUCUAUCAUGUAUCAGAAAGCACAUAAAAUUGUCAGACCUUUCAUUCUAUGUCAUUCAACCUGUGUUAGAGCCAGUUAUGACUUGUCAAAUACACAGAGAGUUCUAUACUACAUACAUAUUUUUUAGCAGUUCUCAAGUGCUGCAAUAACUAUAGCGAAAGUUUGAUCACUCGUGCUAAAAGCAUAGAUCGCAACUGUGCUUUUUACUUCUAAGCAUUUUAGACGAAUUCGCACAACCUAGGAUUCUGCAAGUAAUGGUCUCAGGAGAGCAAGUAUUACCGG
rnacentral:lncRNA from 1 species